rnacentral:tRNA from 1 species
CGCCGUCGUUGGGGUGCGGCCGUCGGGCCGGGCGCUCCAGCUACUCGGGCGCUCGGGCGCGUUCGGCGUCGCGCCGACGCUGG